GGGCGUAUGGCUCAGUUGGCUAGAGCACUUCCUUGACAUGGAAGGGGUCACAGGUUCGAGUCCUGUUACGCCCACCA
rnacentral:tRNA from 1 species